ACUAAGGUGGCAGAGCCCGGAUAAAUGCAAAAGGCCUAAGCCCUUUCUCCCGGGGGUUCAAGUCCCCCCCUUAGCU
rnacentral:tRNA from 1 species